AUUGAACGCUGGCGGCAUGCCUUACACAUGCAAGUCGAACGGCAGCGGGGGAGAAGCUUGCUUUUCCUGCCGGCGAGUGGCGAACGGGUGAGUAAUACAUCGGAACGUGCCCUGUAGUGGGGGAUAACUACGCGAAAGCGUAGCUAAUACCGCAUACGAACUCAGGUUGAAAGCGGGGGAUCGCAAGACCUCGCGCGAUUGGAGCGGCCGAUGGCAGAUUAGGUAGUUGGUGGGGUAAAGGCUCACCAAGCCGACGAUCUGUAGCUGGUCUGAGAGGACGACCAGCCACACUGGGACUGAGACACGGCCCAGACUCCUACGGGAGGCAGCAGUGGGGAAUUUUGGACAAUGGGCGCAAGCCUGAUCCAGCCAUUCCGCGUGCAGGAUGAAGGCCCUCGGGUUGUAAACUGCUUUUGUACGGAACGAAACGCGCCGGGUUAAUACCCUGGCGUAAUGACGGUACCGUAAGAAUAAGCACCGGCUAACUACGUGCCAGCCGCCGCGGUAA
rnacentral:rRNA from 1 species